rnacentral:rRNA from 1 species
AUUGAACGCUGGCGGAAUGCUUUACACAUGCAAGUCGAACGGUAGAGGGGGCAACCCCUUGAGAGUGGCGAACGGGUGAGUAAUAUAUCGGAACGUGCCCAGUCGUGGGGGAUAACGUAGUGAAAAUUACGCUAAUACCGCAUACGAUCUAAGGAUGAAAGCGGGGGAUCGCAAGACCUCGCGCGAUUGGAGCGGCCGAUAUCAGAUUAGGUAGUUGGUGGGGUAAAGGCCCACCAAGCCAACGAUCUGUAGCUGGUCUGAGAGGACGACCAGCCACACUGGAACUGAGACACGGUCCAGACUCCUACGGGAGGCAGCAGUGGGGAAUAUUGCACAAUGGGGGAAACCCUGAUGCAGCCAUGCCGCGUGUGUGAAGAAGGCCUC